rnacentral:rRNA from 1 species
AUACGUAGGGUGCAAGCGUUAAUCGGAAUUACUGGGCGUAAAGCGUGCGCAGGCGGUUUUGUAAGUCUGUCGUGAAAGCCCCGGGCUCAACCUGGGAAUUGCGAUGGAGACUGCAAGGCUUGAAUCUGGCAGAGGGGGGUAGAAUUCCACGUGUAGCAGUGAAAUGCGUAGAGAUGUGGAGGAACACCGAUGGCGAAGGCAGCCCCCUGGGUCAAGAUUGACGCUCAUGCACGAAAGCGUGGGGAGCAAACAGGAUUAGAUACCCUGGUAGUCCACGCCCUAAACGAUGUCUACUAGUUGUCGGGUUUUAAUUAACUUGGUAACGCAGCUAACGCGUGAAGUAGACCGCCUGGGGAGUACGGUCGCAAGAUUAAA